GCUUAUGCAAAGAUUACCUGCGAAAAUUUUUACCUUGCGAGCAAUUAUUUGCAAUCGGCUAGUGAUUUAACUUUAUCCACAUCAACAUUGUUGAGGACAUCUUUCAGAAAAAUUUUCCCACCUGUUUUCAUCUACCAGCUAAUCAUGGCACAGUUUGCACUGCAUGCUGAGGUGAAGUGCUUCUUGGAGAGUGGAGUAUACCAUGAGAGCACAUUGAGAUCUGGCAAGCCAAGGAAGAGAAUUGUCAGACGUUCUGCAAAGAAGUUCGAAGUACAUGAUGGACAUCUGUACUACAUUGAGAAGGGCUCAAAACGUUUAGUCAUCAUGGAUGAUAAACAAAAAGAAAAGGUUCUUUUGGAGUGUCAUGACAACCCAGGGACAGGAGGACAUCAAGGAAC